UCCUACGGGAGGCAGCAGUAGGGAAUCUUCCGCAAUGGACGAAAGUCUGACGGAGCAACGCCGCGUGAGUGAUGAAGGCUUUCGGGUCGUAAAACUCUGUUGUUAGGGAAGAACAAGUGCUAGUUGAAUAAGCUGGCACCUUGACGGUACCCAACCAGAAAGCCACGGCUAACUACGUGCCAGCAGCCGCGGUAAUACGUAGGUGGCAAGCGUUAUCCGGAAUUAUUGGGCGUAAAGCGCGCGCAGGUGGUUUCUUAAGUCUGAUGUGAAAGCCCACGGCUCAACCGUGGAGGGUCAUUGGAAACUGGGAGACUUGAGUGCAGAAGUGGAAAGUGGAAUUCCAUGUGUAGCGGUGAAAUGCGUAGAGAUAUGGAGGAACACCAGUGGCGAAGGCGACUUUCUGGUCUGUAACUGACACUGAGGCGCGAAAGCGUGGGGAGCAAACAGGAUUAGAUACCCUGGUAGUCCACGCCGUAAACGAUGAGUGCUAAGUGUUAGAGGGUUUCCGCCCUUUAGUGCUGAAGUUAACGCAUUAAGCACUCCGCCUGGGGAGUACGGCCGCAAGGCUGAAACUCAAAUGAAUUGACGGA
rnacentral:rRNA from 1 species